UUUCUAAUGGCUAAUGACGUUGAGCAUUUCUUUAAGUGUUUCUCUGCCAUUCGAUAUUCCUCUACAGAGAGUUCUCUGUUUAGCUCUGUUUCCCAUUUUUUAAUUGGAUUACUUGGUUUGCUGUUUUUCAGCUUCUUUAGUUCUUUAUAUAUACUGGAUAUUAGUCCUCUGUCAGAUAAAGGGUUGGUGAAGAUUCUUUCCCAAUCUGUAGGCAGUCGUUUUGUUUUGAUGAUGGUGUCCUUUGAUUUACAGAAGCUUUUCAGUUUCAUGAGGUCCCAUUUAUUGGUUGUUGCUCUUAGAGCCUGUGCUGUUGGUGUUCUGUUCAACAAGUUGUCUCCAAUGAGUUCAAGGCUCUUCCCCACUUUUUCUUCUAAGCAAUUUAGUGUGUCUCGUUUUAUGUUGAGGUCUUUGAUCCACUUGGACUUUAGUUAUGUGCAGGAUGAUAAGUAUGGAUCUAUUUGCAUUUUUCUACAUGUAGACAUCUAGUUAGACCAGCACCAUUUGUUGAAGAUGCUAUCUUUUCUCCAUUGUAUGGUUUUGGCAUCUUUGUCAAAGAUCAGGUGUCCAUAAGUAUGUGUGUUUAUUUCUGGGUCCUCUGUUCGGUUCCAUUGAUCCACCAUUCUGUUUCUAUGCCAGUACCAUGCAGUUUUUAUAACUGUUGCUCUAUAGUAUAGCUUAAGAUCAGGGAUGGAGAUACCUCCAGAAGAUCUUUUAUUGUAGAGGAUUGUUUUAGCAAUUCUGGGUUUCUUGUUAUUUCAUAUGAAGUUGAGGAUUUUUCUUUUCAGGUCUGUAAAAAAUUGUGUUGGCAAUCUGAUGGGAAUCUCAUUGAAUUUGUAGAUUGCUUUUGGUAAGAUGGCCAUUUUGACUAUGUUAAUCCUGCCAAGCCAUGAGCAUGGCAGAUCUUUCCAUCUUCUGAUAUCUUCUUCUGAUUCUUUCUUCAGAGACUGGAAAUUUUUUUUCUUCACAUAAUUCUUUGACUUGCUUGGUUAGGGUUACUCCAAAGUACUUUAUGUCCUUUGUGGCUAUUGUGAAGGGUGUUGUUUCCUAAUUUCUUUCUCAGCCCUUUUGUGUUUUGUAUACAGGAGGGCUACUGAUUUUUUUGAGUUAAUUUUGUAUCCUGCCACUUUGCUGAAGGUGUUUAUCAGUUGUAGGAGUUCCCUGGUAGAGUUUUUGGGGUCACUCACAUAUACUAUCAUAUCAUCUGCAAAUAAUGAUAAUUUGAUUUCUUCCUUUCCAAUUUGUAUCCCCUUGAUCUCCUUCAACUGUCUUAUUGCGCUAUCAAGGACUUCCUGAACUAUGUUGAAGAAAUAUGGAGAGAGUGGGCAGCCUUGCCUUGUCCCUGAUUUCAGUGGGAUUGCUGUAUGUUUCUCUCUGUUCAGUUUGAUGUUGGCUAUAGGCUUGCUGUAUAUCACCUUUACUAUGUUUAGAUAUGUGCCCUGUAUCCCUAAUCUCUCCAAUACUUUAAACAUGAAUGGAUGUUGGAUUUUGUCAAAUGCUUUUUCAGCAUCUAGGGAGAUUAUCAUGUGUUUCUUUCUUUCAGGUUGUUAAUAUGGUGGAUCACAUUGAUGGAUUUCCGUAUAUUGAACCACCCCUGCAUACCUGGGAUGAAGCCUAUUUGGUCAUAGUGGAUGAUAUCUUUGAUGUGUUCUUGUGUUCAGUUUGCAAGUAUUUUGUUGAGUAUUUUUGCAUCAAUGUUCAUAAGGGAGAUUGGUUUGAAAUUCUCUUUCUUUGUUGGGUCUGUGCGGUUUAGGUACCAAGGUGACUGUGGCUUCAUAGAAUGAGUUUGGUAAUGUUUCUUCUGUUUUUAUUUUGUGGAAUAGUUUGAAGAGAACUGGAGUUGGCUUUUCUUUGAAGGUCUGGUAGAAUUCUGUGCUGAAACCAUCUGGUCCUGGGCUGUUUUUGGAUGGGAGACUUUCGAUGACCCCUUCUACUUCCUUGGGGGAUAGAGGACUAUUUAAUUGAUUUACCUGGUCCUGAUUCAGCUUUGAUGUGAACUUCACAGGUGCCUGGUGUCUGUGGUAGUCAGAAGAGAGCAUCAGAUCACCUAGAAUUGGAGUUAUGGUUGUUAGGAGCUGCCAUGUGAGUGCUGGGGACCAAACCUGUGUCCUUUCUAAGAACAGCCAGUGCUGUGGUAGCAGCUGCCUCUCCAGCCACCAGUUUUGGCUCAGCGCUUUGCGCUUUGUGUAGCUCAGGUGUUUGUGACCUCCUCCACUGAGGACCAGCCACUGGGAGCAGCUUUUACUGCCCUGAAAGCAAUUCCAGAGGCCUUAACACUGAGAGUUUCAGGAAUGAAGUGGGGUUCUGCUCUGCCAAGGGAGCUGUAGAAGGAUGUCUUUCCAAUUGUAAAGCAAACCAGUUUUCCUUCCUUCCUCACAAUGUGCAAAGACAUCUCCAUUGGACACCACAACAAUGGCCCCUGGAUGAGUUCAGUACAGUCAGGGGAGAUCAUCAGGCCUGUGAUGUGGACCUGUUACAUUUACUGUGGAGACAGAUGCAUCCAAGAGACCGUGGUGUAGUCCUCCUAUGCACCAAAGACUUCCUACUCUGCAAAGUUGGGCUGGCUGGGAAAGGGGACCUUCAGCAUGGUCCUCACCAGCUUUUGUAGGCUGAACUUUUAUCCUUUAGCCUUAUGUCUACACCAUUGGCUUCUGAGAUCUCUGCCCAGGCUUGUUUCAAAAUGGAACAUGGAUGAAAAGAGGCUUGGCAUCAUUGACACUAUCAAGUCAAGCUGUCAAACUAAAUGGGCUUCUGGAGGACACUUCAAAAGAGGCUGCAAGACAACUUAAUGUGUGACACAGAGCAGACUGGGUAUGAAGGUGUGGGUGUAGAAGUCUGUAAAAUUAAGCAUGGUAGUUUCCAAUGUUAAAUAAA